rnacentral:rRNA from 1 species
AGAGUUUGAUCCUGGCUCAGGACUAACGCUGGCGGCGUGCCUAACACAUGCAAGUCGAACGAGAGUAGCAAUACUCUAGUGGCAGACGGGUGAGUAACACGUGGUCAACCUACCUAUUAGUGGGGGAUAACUAGCCGAAAGGUUAGCUAAUACCGCAUACGAUCUAUGCGUGGCAUCAUGUAUAGAUGAAAGGAGCAAUC